rnacentral:tRNA from 1 species
AGGCUACUAGCUCAACGGUAGAGCGCGCUUUUGAUAAGGGCGUGGUUUCUGGUUCAACCCCAGAGUGGCCUA